UAUCUACUCAUAACGUCAAUGAUGGAUGCCUAGGAGAUAAUGGCCGAAGAAAGACGCAGGCGGCGGCGAUACUCGUCGGGGAGGUGCCAACAACCUUUGAUCCGGCGGUUUCUGAAUGAGGCAACUCUCCCUUUAUAGGGAAGCCAUACGUAAACAACGUCCCGCAAGGGAUGUAAUAGCGUAGGGCAGGAUACCGGGCCAACUGAAACAUCUCAGUAGCCCGAGGAAUAUAAAUCAAAUGAGAUUCCGUUAGUAGCGGCGAGCAAAAGCGGAACAGCCUAAACCACCUCUGGUGGUGUUGCAGGGCAGACGAUAUCCGAUCUAUUUUGUCUAGAAGAAGAACCCGGAAUGGUUCCCCAUAGAACGUGAAAGGCGUGUAUUCGAAAGGCAAGAUAGCGGUAGUUUGUACCUAAGUACCAUGGGGCACGAUUAAACCCUGUGGGAAUCUGGGACGUCCAUGUUCCAAGGCUAAAUACCAUUGUCUACCGAUAGUGAACUAGUACCGCGAGGGAAAGGUGAAAAGCACCCCGGAAGGGGAAUGAAAGAGAACUGAAAUCAUUGACUGACAAGCAGCCGAAGCGCAAGUGACGGCGUGCCUAUUGAAGAAUGAACCGGUGAGUUAUUUUGUACUCUAUAGUCUAAGCAACUUAAGUUGCGAAGGCGUAGUGAAAGCGGGCCCUAACCGGGCUAAUAAGAGUAUGGAAUAGACCCGAAACCAGGUGAGCUAACCAUGAGCAGGGUGAAUGUCUCCGAAAGGGGACAGGAGGCCCGAACCCGUAGUCGCGGCAAUGACUUGGGAUGACUUGUGGUUAGGGGCAAUAUGCCAAACGAACCUGGAGAUAGCUGGUUCUCCCCGAAAUAUAUCUUGGUAUAGCGCUAUGUAUUUACGCUCGUGGGGUAGAGCACUGAAUCGGUUUUGGCGUCGCAAGACGUCAAACUGAAUCAAACUCCGAAUACACGAGUAUUAGAAGCAUAGUAGUCAAUCAUGUCGGGCUAAGCCGAUGUGUUAAAAGGGAAACAACCCAGACUCUCAGCUAAGGCCUCUAAAUAACGGCUAAGUUUACAAGGAAGUCAUAUACCGCAGACACCCAGGAAGUUGGCUUAGAAGCAGCCACCUUUUAAAGAACGCGUAACAGCGCACUGGCGGAUGGUAUGUGGCGCCGGAAAUUCCGGAGGAUCAAGCCGUUUGCCGAAGCUAGAGACUCGAAAGAGUGGUAGGGGAGCGUUGUAAAGGCAGUGAAGCAUUGCUGUAAGGCGGUGUGGAGCGUUUACAAGUGAGAAUGCCGGUAUGAGUAGCGAGAUAAUGGUGAGAAGCCAUUACUCCGUAUGUCCAAGGUUUCCUCCGCAAUGUAAAUCAGCGGAGGGUUAGUCGGUCCUAAGGGCGUGCCUCGCAGAAUGGGGUGUAGCCUGAUGGAUAAGUCGUUAAUAUUCGACUACACGGUGUAGUACGUAUAAGGGAGUUACGAAGUUGGAUAGAUCGAGCCUGCGCAAGUGGGUACCAAGCAGCGAGGAAGAGUUAACUGGAAAAUCCGUUAAUUUGUUUAUGUGAGCUGUUAUGGAGAGCUUACCGAAAGGUGGUAAUUCGAUUGAAUUCAGUUUCCGGGAAACACUUCAUUAUGUUUCCGUAAGGCAAACAAUGCUACAUUUGUACCGUACCGCAUAACCGACACAGGUGGACUGGUCGAGAAGACUAAGGAGAUCGGGAGAAAGUGGAUCAAGGAACUCGGCACAAAAGCUAGGCGUAACCUUUGGGAGAUGCCUUACCGGUGGGUAAUACCGCCGGUCGCAGCGAAAGAUUGCUUACCAACUGUUUAUCUAAAACACAGGUCCCUGCAAAGCCGAAAGGCAACGUAUAGGGGCUGACACCUGCCCAGUGCCAGUAAGUCAAAUGUCUCUGAUGAAACCGCAAGGUCAAGUUUAGGACAUAAGCUCUGGUGAACGGCAGCAGUAACUAUAACUGUUCUAUGGUGAAAUUCGUCGCCUUAGAAGUGACGUGUUUUGGAAAUUUGGCUAUAUGCUGGAAUAUCUGAGAAUCUUACACUAGUUGUUACUCUAAUAAAUUUAGAGUUAUACUGAAAAUGUGAUAAGUGCAGACAAUCAGCAGGAAAGACUAAUUGGUUGGAUUGUUGGGUUUACAGAGGGAGAAGGGUGUUUUUCUAUUGGUUUUGUUAAACAACCUCAAAGAAAAGACAGAAAGGGCUAUCAAACUGGUAUUCAAGUAUGGCAUGAAUUUGCUAUUACGCAAGGGGCCAGCAGCCUAUCUGCUCUAGAAAAAAUCAAAAAAUUCUUUGGAGUUGGAAACGUUUAUAUCAAUAAAAGAUAUGAUAACCACAGAGAACAUCUUUAUCGAUAUGUUGUGAGAAAAAGAGAGGAUUUAUUGAAUACAAUUAUUCCUUUCUUCAAAAACAACGAAAUGCAUACAAUAAAGAAAAUGCAGUUUGAAAAGUUUUCAAAUAUUCUUGACUUAGUACAAAAUGGAAAACAUUUAACUUGGGAUGGAUUGGAAGAAAUUUUGAAAAUUGCUGAAACAAUGAAUGCACGUAAAUCUAAAGCGUCACUAAUUAGAAUCCUCAGAGACCAUAUGCCAAAGCCCAUGAGUAAUCAGGGUAAGAUAUGGUCCCGACUGCAUGGCGACAUGCAGGUACAAUAAGCCUUUUAUUGUACAGAGUCUCAAUAUUGAGAUGAAGAUUUCAAGCGAAGUUCCUUGUCGGGCAAGUUCCGACCCGCACGAAAGGUAGAAUGAGUGAGCAACUGUCUUGAUCCAUUACCCGGCGAAAUUGAGAUGGCCGUGAAGACGCGGCCUAGUAAUGCAUGGACAAAAAGACCCCGGGAGCUUUACUGUAGCUUGGCAUUCGUUUGUUUAUUUUAUAUGUUUAGAAUAGGAGGGAGCCUUCGGGCAAUCGUGAAAUACCUCUCUUUGGAAUGAAUGAACGUUACCUCUAUCCCGCACAAAAAUCCGGGAGGGGAACAGUGUCUGGCGGGCAGUUUAACUGGGGCGAUUGACUCCUACAAUGCAACGGAGUCGUACAAAGGUUGGCUAGCCUUGGAUGGAAAUCAAGGUGAUAGCGCAAACGCAAAAGCCAGCUUGACUGUGAGACUUACAAGUCGAGCAGGGACGAAAGUCGGUGUUAGUGAUCCUGCGAUGCUUAGUGGUAGGCACGCAGCUUAACGGAUAAAAGCUACCCCGGGGAUAACAGGCUGAUCGCAUCCAAGCGUCCACAGCGACGAUGCGGUUUGGCACCUUUUGUUUGAUACAUUGGGGCGCCUGCAGAGUAAUCUGCAAGUCUGGUUCAGACUCUAUAUCUAACCCAUAUAGAUAAGGAAUUAAAAAUACUAGUCAAAAUCGGUGGACACCUAUCAUUUCAUGAAGAGACAUGGAGGAUAGGCCAAUACCGAGGGAAGUCAAGUUUACUUGACCCCGUAUCGACUCGAUCGAAAGAUCGGAUGGAAUUUCCAGUUGGGAACUUCCAUAUACGACUAGCUCCUUCGCAAGAAGGAUGAAGGUAUAGUCAGUGCUCUUAGUAAUAAGAGGAAGACAGCGAUGUCGGCUCAUCCUAUCCUGGGGCUGGAGAAGGUCCCAAGGGUCUGGCUGUUCGCCAGUUAAAAGGGUACGCGAGCUGGGUUCAGAACGGCGUAAGCCAGUUCGGUCUCUAUCCUGCAUUACCGUCGAAAUUUGAGAGGAGUCGUCCCUAGUACGAGAGGACUGGGAUGAGGGAACCCCUGGUGUGUCGGUUGUUGGUAAUCAUUCCAGCACUGCCGAGUAGCUAUGUUCCCACGUGAUAACCGCUGAAAGCAUCUAAGUGGGAAGCACACCUCAAGAUAAGAUUUCUUAGACCCCUUGUAGAUCACGAGGUUGAUAGGCGGGCGGUAGAAGUACAGCAAUGUAUUAAGCCUACCCGUACUAAUGGUCAUCAGAGUAGAUUAU
rnacentral:rRNA from 1 species